CCUGAAGAGAGAAAAUUCAGAAGUUACUGAAAAUGGUUGUUACAGUUUCAGUGUCUUUUUAUAUAGGAGGAGGAGCUGAUGCAAACUAUGAUCUCUACCAUGUUUGAAGACAUGAUGCAGAAUAUAAGACGGGGAAUACAUGAUUAACCACCACUGUACACAGAGCAGAGACAAAUGGCCUUGACAAUGAAUCAUCCUAAAUUCAUGGUUGUUUUUCUUAUCAUUUCAAUUUACUGGGCUGGUACUGAGGGUCAAACACUGACUGAGUCUGAAUCAGUGAUUAAAAGGCCUGGAGACUCCCAAAGACUGACCUGUACAUACUCAGGGUUCAGUGGUGAUCAUAGUAAUGCUUGGAUCAGACAGGCUGCUGGAAAAGGACUGGAAUGGAUCGCUUUGAUCAGCAGUGGCAGU